UACGUAGGGUGCAAGCGUUGUCCGGAAUUAUUGGGCGUAAAGAGCUCGUAGGUGGCUUGUCACGUCGGGUGUGAAAGCCCCGGGGCUUAACCCCGGGUCUGCAUUCGAUACGGGCUAGCUAGAGUGUGGUAGGGGAGAUCGGAAUUCCUGGUGUAGCGGUGAAAUGCGUAGAUAUCGGGAGGAACAUCGAUGGCGAAAGCAACCGUCUGGGCCUGAACUGACACUGAGACACGAAAGCGUGGGGAGCAAACAGG
rnacentral:rRNA from 1 species